CUGCUGCUCUCCUCUGCCUUCCUGGGAGACCGAAGUCGAUGUCUGGCGAUGGGGGUCUGCGAUGGGGGUCUGCUCAACCUGGCGCAUUUCCACACCGAGACAAAAGUGGACCUGAUCCUUAAGUGAGAGAUGUUUGCAGAUGACGUGGCUGUGACAGCGCACUCCGAGGAAGCUCUGCAGAGACCCGUCAACCGCUUUGCCCAAGACUGCGGGGAGUUCUGCCUAAUCACCAGCCUGACAAGGACCAGCAUCCUGGGCCAGACAUCGCCAGCACUCCAGGCAUCAGCACUGGGGACCACAUGCUUGAGGUGGUGGAAGAUUCUGUUAAACUGGGUAUGCUGGACCCAGCAGUAACCCAUGAAACACGGUCCAGGACCGGUCCAGAAUCCGAAGGUUCUGCUAGGAGUCAGUCCAACAGGGCAAAGGCAGGAAACCAGACAAGGAUAGGGGCAGGAUCACAGGCAGGUUCUGGCAAACAGCAAUGUUGUUCCCGCAACCUGGGACAGAGUCCAGCAGCCUUUUAUCUCUGUCGGGGUAACGGCCGGUCCUGAUCCCCCAGCGACUCACCUCCCUG